CACGUCAUUUAGACCUUUUUAGUAGGCUUCACAUAUCUUUACCUUUGCCAAUUAGGGUUUGUUCCUAGCUGAAAGCUACUCUUACAUAUCCAUCAAUUGCAAGAAGAAAUAGAGAAUGAAAGAAUUCCACUUUGCAAAUAUGGGAAUUCGAGUCGUAUAGAAACCUCUGAGGACAAUUCGAACCGAGGAAGGCGGUUUUAUACCUGCUCGCCUCAACAUGUAUGUAAAAAGAGUCAAACUUGCAAUUUUCAUUUAUAGUAUGAUGUGGAGCUAACUGAUCAUCAAGUGGUUUAUGUGAAUGCAUUGAGGAAGAAAGUGAAGGAUUAUAGAGAAGAAAGAAAUGAGACUUUGAUACAAGCUGGGGAAGCACAAGCUAUUAGCUCAUGUGCUCUAGUACAAAUGAAGGGCUACCAAACAGAGAAUGAAACAAUGAAGAGUGAGAUUGAAGUAUUAAAGUUUGACAAUAUAGCACUAAGGGCUGAAAAUUAUGUUCUUAAGGGUGAAAUUCAGUUGCUAAAAGAGGAAUCUGAACUUCUAAUGAUGGAGAUCGAUAUUCUGAAGGAGAAAAUAAAAUCAACGGAGGGGAACAGGAUUAUAAAGAAAAUGCUAACGGCUGGUGCUUGUCUUGUUGUUUAUGGAAAUGUGGUAUAUGCUCUGUGACGUAUAGAGUAGUGUUUCUGGUGCUUGUCUUGUCUUGCUGGUGCUUGUCUUGCUGUUUGUGGGAAUAUAUGUUAAAGCAUUUCACAAACUGCAUAUAGGUUAGAUUUGCAGUUUGUAAAACUUGAUCCUUUUGCUUUUCAUCAGAUGUAUUUGCUUAAUGUUGAAGGCUAAUGGAACUGUGUGAAGUUUGGUAA